CCUACGGGUGGCAGCAGUGAGGAAUAUUGGUCAAUGGACGGAACUCUGAACCAGCCAUGCCGCGUGCAGGAUGACGGCUCUAUGAGUUGUAAACUGCUUUUUUACAGGGGUAAACCUGAAUACGUGUAGUCUACUGAAGGUACUGCACGAAUAAGGAUCGGCUAAUUCCGUGCCAGCAGCCGCGGUAAUACGGAGGGUCCAGGCGUUAUCCGGAUUUAUUGGGUUUAAAGGGUGCGUAGGCGGAUUGAUAAGUUAGAGGUGAAAUGUCCGAGCUUAACUCGGGAACUGCAUCGCAUACUGUUGAUCUAGAGAGUAGAUGAGGUAGGCGGAAUUCGUGGUGUAGCGGUGAAAUGCUUAGAGAUCAUACAGAACACCGAUUGCGAAGGCAGCUUACCAAAAUAUAUCUGACGUUGAGGCACGAAAGCGUGGGGAGCAAACAGGAUUAGAUACCCCAGUAGUC
rnacentral:rRNA from 1 species